rnacentral:rRNA from 1 species
UACGUAGGGACCAAGCGUUGUUCGGAUUUACUGGGCGUAAAGGGCGCGUAGGCGGCGUGGUAAGUCACUUGUGAAAUCUCUGGGCUUAACUCAGAACGGCCAAGUGAAACUGUUGUGCUAGAGUGCAGAAGGGGCAAUCGGAAUUCUCGGUGUAGCGGUGAAAUGCGUAGAUAUCGAGAGGAACACCAGAGGUGAAGACGGGUUGCUGGGCUGACACUGACGCUGAGGCGCGAAAGCCAGGGGAGCAAACGGG